rnacentral:lncRNA from 1 species
AUUUGGCCCUGUAUCUAUGAGUCCAACAAUCUAGGUAGCAAUUGAAUGUUGUUUUCCAAAAUAAUAAAUGUCUUGGAGUUAACCUUAGAUUGGUUAUUUGGGAAUUCAUCUAGGAACAAGAACAUCGUGGUUCUCAGGCUUUGGAUAAUUUCAACAUUCCUUUUGUACAAGAUAAGGAAGCUGCUUCUCAAGAAGUUAUAUCUGAAAGUGGUAAAAAUCAACAAAUCAUUUCAUGUGUCCCAGAACAUGAACCUUUGAAUGAUCCUCAGCUGCUGAUACCAGAUGUGUAUCUAAAUGUCAGACUUUCCAGUGAAUAUCAGAGAAA